rnacentral:rRNA from 1 species
CCUGACUGCUAUCGGAUUGGUACUAAGCCAUGUGAGUCAUUGUAGCAAUACAAGGCAUACGGCUCAGUAACACGUAGUCAAUCUAACCUAUGGACGUGGAUGACCUCGGGAAACUGAGGAUAAUCCGCGAUAGAUCAUUAAUCCUGGAACGGUUUAUGGUCAAAAAGAUUCGUCGCCGUAGGAUGGGACUGCGGCCUAUCAGCUUGUUGGUGAGGUAAUGGCCCACCAAGGCUAUUACAGGUACGGGCUCUGAGAGGAGAAGCCCGGAGAUGGGUACGGAGACACGGACCCAGGCCCUAUGGGGCGCAGCAGGCGAGAAACCUUUGCAAUGUGCGCAAGCACGACAAGGUUAAUCCGAGUGUUUCCUGCUAAAGGAAUCUUUUGUUAGUUCUAAAACCACUAUCGAAUAAGGGGUGGGCAAGUUCUGGUGUCAGCCGCCGCGGUAAAACCAGCACCUCAAGUGGUCAGGAGGAUUAUUGGGCCUAAAGCAUCCGUAGCCGGUUCUGUAAGUUUCCGGUUAAAUCCACUAGCUCAACUAGUGGGCUGCCGGAAAUACUGUAGAACUAGGGAGUGGGAGAGGUAGACGGUACUCGGUAGGAAGGGGUAAAAUCCUUUGAUCUAUUGAUGACCACCUGUGGCGAAGGCGGUCUACCAGAACACGUUCGACGGUGAGGGAUGAAAGCUGGGGGAGCAAACC